GUAGUCAGUUGUAUGUAGUAGUCAGUUGUAUAUAUGAGUCAGUUGAAUGUAGUAGUCAGUUGUAUGUAGUAGUCAGAUGUAUGUAGUAGCCAGAUGUAUGUAGUAGUCAGUUCUAUGUAGUAGUCAGUUGCAUGUAGUAGUCAGUUGUAUGUAGUAGUCAGUAUUUAUGUAGUAGUCAGUAUUUAUGUAGUAGUCAGUUGUAUGUAGUAGUCAGUUGUAUAGUAGUCAGUUGUAUGUAGUAGUCAGUUGUAUAUAGUAGUCAGUUGUAUGUAGUAGUCAGAUGUAUGUAGUAGUCAGUUGUAUGUAGUAGUCAGUUGUAUGUAGUAGUCAGUUGUAUGUAGUAGUCAGUAUUUAUGAAGUAGUCCGUUGUAUGUAGUAGUCAGUUGUAUGCAGUAGUCUGUUGUAUGCAGUAGUCAGUUGUAUGCAUGAGUCAGUUGUAUGGAGUAGUCAGUUGUAUAGUAGUAGUCAGUUGUGUGCAUGAGUCAGUUGUAUGUAGUAGUCAGUUGUAUGGAGUAGUCAGUUGUAUGUAGUAGUCAGUUGUAUGUAGUAGUCAGUUGUAUAGUAGUCAGUUGUAUGUAGUAGUCAGUUGUAUGUAGUAGUCAGUUGUAUGUAGUAGUCAGUUGUAUGUAGUAGUCAGUUGUAUGCAUGAGUCAGUUGUUUGUAGUAGUCAGUUGUAUGCAUGAGUCAGUUGUAUGUAGUAGUCAGUUGUAUGCAUGAGUCAGUUGUAUGUAGUAGUCAGUUGUAUGUAGUAGUCAGUGUAUAUGUAGUAGUCAGUUGUAUGUAGUAGUCAGUUGUAUGUAGUAGUCAGUUGUAUGUAGUAGUCAGUUGUAUGUAGUAGUCAGUUGCAUGUAGUAGUCAGUUGUAUAGUAGUCAGUUAUAUGCAGUAGUCAGUUGUAUGCAUGAGUCAGUUGUAUGUAGUAGUCAGUUGUAUGUAAUAGUCAGUUGUAUGUAGUAGUCAGUUGUAUGUAGUAGUCAGUUGUAUGCAGCAGUCAGUUGUAUGUAGUAGUCAGUUGUAUGUAAUAGUCAGUUGUAUGUAGUAGUCAGUUGUAUGUAGUAGUCAGUUGUAUGCGGUAGUCAGUUGUAUGCGGUAGUCAGUUGUAUGCAGUAGUCAGUUGUAUGCACUAGUCAGUUGUAUGUAGUAGUCAGUUGUAUGUAGUAGUCAGUUGUAUGCAAUAGUCAGUUGUAUGCAGUAGUCAGUUGUAUGUAGUAGUCAGUUGUAUGCAGUAGUCAGUUGUAUGCAGUAGUCAGUUGUAUAGUAGUAAGUUGUAUGUAGUAGUCAGUUGUAAAGUAGUCAGUUGUAUGACGUACCCUUUUGGUCAAAAGUACAGAUACGCCAACAGCUUAAAAUAGAUAUCACUGCGGUGACAAAAUUGUUACCGCGAUGACAUUUUUGUCACUGCGGUAAUAAAUUUAUCACUGCGGUGAUAUAUUUGUAACUGUUGUGAUACUUUGUUUGACCCAAACAGUUUGAUAGUAGAGCUAAAUCGAACUAACCAAUGAAACAACGUCUUGCAAAACGGCAAAUCGGCGAAUAUUUACUGCGAAGUUUUCAAGAUGUCUGCCUCCUUGGAUACUGUAAACAACUUUUCAGAUCAUGAGUUUGGUAAUUUUAAUCUUCGGACACAAGGAUGACGACAAUUUAGAGUCCAUCAAUGGUUGUGAAAUCAAGGAUAUUCUAUUGGAAGGAAAGACAUGAAUGCAUUCAAGUUUCCUGUGAGCAAUAUGAUUUCCUGACUUUGCCUUACAGUAUAAAACAAGAGAGUUAAACACUUGAAACUUGAAAAGAUGUGGUCCUAGAACCUGAAAUGGCAACUCCAACUCUCUACAAAAGCAUCAUCUGGAAUCCAACUAUGUACAAUCAAAAAAUUAAUGUGUGUCUUAAUUUGGUCUUUUUAGAGCCCUGACGGGUCUUAAGAUAUCAGAUGUUUUAAAAUUUAUUGUGUUUGUGCUGCAAGUUUUAUUAACUGGUUAUAAAGCUUAUGUAUGAAGAACCGUUUACUGCCUGGUUAGUUGCAGUAGAGCACUCAUAGGAAUUGGGAGAUCUGUGGAAUCCCUUUGUGGCUUGCAAAUUUCAACCUGUUUUCAAAAAUUGCUUAGUUGGUCAGUGUGUUAAUAUUUCAAUUUUCAAUAUGUUUUCACUGUUCUCAGUUUUUGAUUUUGUUUCAGUUAGGGAUUCUAAAUGACUUUUAGUUGAACUGACAUUUGCAUUCGUGCUUUCAUCAAAUGGUUCAUUUAACACUCAGAUUUAUUCCAAACUGAUUGGCAAAGUCUUCCUAAGAUCGACAUAACAACUUCCUCCAUUAAACCGUCCCAAACAAUGGCAUCUUACCUCUAUCCACAAAGUCUGACAUGGUCAUGUUUAUUUAUUGUACUAAAUAUGUUUUUUUUUAUGUUUAAGUCCUUAUUUUCAAAAGAAAUUAGCUUUAACUAGCCUUAUCAAACACAAUACCUGUUGCAAAAUUGGCAAACUGUAGAAGACGACAAAUGUAACCCUAAUAAUCAUUUAUGAUUUAAAAUUAUUUCAUUAUUUAAUGCAUAUUACAUUGGGUUUUAUUGUGAAGUGUGUUACUAUUUUAUUAUUUACUAUUUUUACUGUUUUUGUAUUGUUUGUUUUAUUUGUUUGGUAUGUUUAUAUUAAGUGCUGAACUUUGACAUAACCUUUGACCUUUUAUGUUUGCAUAUGAAGGCUUGUCAAAAAAAGUAGUCCGUUUGUUACAUGACGUCAUCAGCAUGUACUUAUUCAUUAUUAAUGUUUGGAAAAUACGUUUUUUUCUGUUUAUGUUUCUGUUUGUGGAUUAAAUGUUAUACCUCUUGGUAUCAAA